AAGUCUGGUGCCAGCAGCCGCGGUAAUUCCAGCUCCAAUAGCGUAUAUUAAAGUUGUUGCAGUUAAAAAGCUCGUAGUUGAAUUUCGGGGUUAGUAGGUUGGUCAUGCCUCUGGUAUGUACUGGUCUCACUGAUUCCUCCUUCCUUAUGAACCGUAAUGCCAUUAAUUUGGUGUUGCGGGGAAUUUGGACUGUUACUUUGAAAAAAUUAGAGUGUUUAAAGCAAGCUAACGCUUGAAUACAUUAGCAUGGAAUAAUGAAAUAGGACGUUCGAUCUUAUUUUGUUGGUUUCUAGGAUUGACGUAAUGAUUAAUAGGGAUAGUUGGGGGCAUUAGUGUUCAAUUGUCAGAGGUGAAAUUCUUGGAUUUAUUGAAGACUAACUACUGCGAAAGCAUUUGCCAAGGAUGUUUUCAUUAAUCAAGAACGAAAGUUAGGGGAUCGAAGACGAUCAGAUACCGUCGUAGUCUUAACCAUAAACUAUGCCGACUAGGGAUCGGAUGAUGUUAAUUUUUUAAUGACUCAUUCGGCGCCUUACGGGAAACCAAAGUGUUUGGGU
rnacentral:rRNA from 1 species